rnacentral:sRNA from 1 species
ACACACAGAGAGACACACACACACACAGAGAGACACACACACACACACGCGAACCGUUAUGUAAUCGCGUAUUUACUUAGUUGUGAGAACUCUGCUGCCGGGAUGAAAGAGGCAAAAAAACAACAACAACAAAAACA